rnacentral:lncRNA from 1 species
GACGAAUCUGCUGUGGACUGCCCAGCAUCGCGGCGGAUAAGGAUUGCGUAUUAAUGAAUUACGAGAAAAAUCUUGUUUGGUUUCAGCGGUUGAAUGAAUUAAGAAUAAACAAGCAGCAAAAUCCUAGCUUUGAUUCAAGGAUUUUUUAAAGCGAAGUUAGGGAUUUUUUGUCAAGGCCUAAAUGUUUCAUUAGCUACUGUAAUUUACACUUCA